rnacentral:lncRNA from 1 species
AAUAACUUACAGUUUGUACUAACCUUAUCACUCCGUUUAUAGGUUGACUGCGAUGGCAACGGCGGGAGACGGAUGACAACGAUGGGAGGCGAAAGGCGGCGGCAGUUCUCACAAAAUCUAGCUCGACUGAACGAUCCCAGGCUCGCAACAAGGGCUAAAUUGAGAGGAGGAGGGAGUAGGGAUGACGGGUUGAAUCGUGUAACUUGUAAGUUUUAUAGGUCCAAUCGUCGGCGGGAAGACUCUAGGGAUUUCGAAUUUGAAGGCAGAAGGUUUCCUCUCAAGUGGUGUUUGGUUUAAUAAUAAUGGGAUUUCUCUCUCCAAUAUUGAUUUUAUAAAGGGCAAAA